CCGUGUUUACAAGUGUUCCUUGUCCGAAUGCCGGGCCAUAUGCUGGUGUCAAUGGAUUGUAAGUAUGUCCCUGUCCAACCUGCCUACACAUGCUAUCACAGCUGUCUCAUCCAUCUAUGUGAGCACGUAUGCCUAUUUCGCCUAUGUAAAAAAAUAUUUGCAAGCCUCUCUAUACACUUCCAUCCAUGCAUAUGCCUGUAUCAAGCUCACAUGUCUACACAUACAAACAUACAUGUUCACCAAACACUUCGAGUGUACAAUUGUAAAGAUUGCCUCACCAACACAAGCCUUGCAGGGCUGAAGAGCCCGCCCAUGGCCCCAGGCUCGGGGUGUGUAUAAACUCGCUAAUUACACCAACGUCAUCAUAUCAAGAGAAAGGAAAUCAGACCCAGCCCCCAGAUUCAGUUCCGUAUGAUCUGAUGUACGGCUCCAUACACAUGUCUCACUAAAUGAGUUCCUGACUCCGAUAAUAAAAUAUUGGAUAAUCAAAUAUUUCUCCGAUAUUUGAUUAAUCCGAGGUCUCCCACCACGGGGACUCUAGAGUCCAGACCUGUUUUGCAUGCACGGAAAAGAAAUGGCAAAAUUUUAGGUUAUGCUUAAUAACUGUCAUACGACAGAAACCGGGAGGAUAGCUAUAGGUGGCAAUACACAUAUCAGCUGCAGGGUUUUAACAUUAGCUAGUGCCCAACUCUGAACAAAACCCAAAACCAAAACCCUGAGAGCACAACUUACUUCACUCACUGCCUAUCCGUGGAUCAGCUGNNN
rnacentral:lncRNA from 1 species